AGAGUUUGAUCCUGGCUCAGGACGAACGCUGGCGGCGUGCUUAACACAUGCAAGUCAAGGGGGCCCGCAAGGGCAACCGGCGAACGGGUGCGUAACACGUGAGCAACCUACCGAGAUGUGGGGGAUAGCCGGCCCAACGGCCGGGUAAUACCGCAUACGAUUGCUUGGGGGAGUCCCCGGGCAAGGAAACCCGCAAGGGGCAUUUCGAGGGGCUCGCGGCCUAUCAGCUAGUUGGCGGGGUAAUGGCCCACCAAGGCGACGACGGGUAGCUGGUCUGAGAGGAUGGCCAGCCACAUUGGGACUGAGAAACGGCCCAGACUCCUACGGGAGGCAGCAGUGGGGAAUCUUGCGCAAUGGUCGAGAGACUGACGCAGCGACGCCACGUGUGGGAGGACGCCCUUCGGGGUGUAAACCACUGUUGCCCGGGACGAACAUCCACUUUCGAGUGGACUGACG
rnacentral:rRNA from 1 species